GGGAGGAGGAGGAGGAGGAGGAGGUGAUGGAGGAGGGGGAGGAGCAGGAGGAGGAGCAGGAGGAGGAGGGGAUACGUUGAGAGGCAAGGGAGGGAGAUGGGAGAUGGGAGUGGGGCAGGAGAGGGAGGCGAGAUGGGAGUUGGGCAGGAGAGGGAGCCAGCAGGGGCAGGUGUGUCGGGCGCCCCGGUCACGCCAACCUCCCCGACCCGGCUCCCCGGCUUGCAGGGAGGAGGGCCGCGGGCCCAAAACACACACACGCCCUGGCACCCCCGACCUCCCCUGGCCAUUUCCCCCCUCCCUCCUCCCCACCUGCGCGCCCAUGCCGCUCACGUCCACCGCCAGCCCGCCCGCACUCAGUGCCAUGACGGAGCCCGGCAUUCGGUCCGGCCACUCGAUCAGGCACACGUCUGCGGGCGUGUGUGUAUAUGUUCAAGGGUUUCGGGGGAUUGCAAUGUUGGAACAUUGGGAGCGGUUGGGCAGAUACAAGCAUGGGUAAUGAAGAAGUCGCAGCGAAGGCAGGCACCAAGUAUGUGUGUAUGUGUGUGAAAGAGUAUGGGACUGGGAGUUUGAACGCUAGUUUCACAGUCAAGCAGCUGUUCAAGAGCAUGAGCAACCCCGACCCAAAUGGUGACCCCCGCCCGAUUUGCCAGCUCCCCGGCACGCGCACUUCCGCAGAACUGACUCGUGCCCGACCCCCCCUCACCCAUCCCGGGUCGGCUACAUCGGCACUUCGUACAUCAUUCCGUUCUCCACAUGAACGGCUAAACCCCGCCCCCCCUCUGCACCGCGCCGUACCUUUGGAGAAGGCGGAUGCAAAAUCAAUCAGGCCCGCCAUCUUGUCGGAUUUGGAUCCACCGCCCAGGCGGUACGGAUCCAUGUGGUGCACGGAUCCAGCGCGAUCCGACCGCAAUGGCUGCUGUUGUUGCUGCUGCUGCUGCUGCUGCUGCUCCGGGACGCCGGAUCCAGAUCCAGAUCCAGAUCCAGAUCCAGAAGCUGGCGCCUCCAUCGGCACUGCUGCGGUACCCGCGCCCACUCCUCCCUCCACGCCCGCGCCACAGCCUGCCGCGGCCGCCUCGCCGCCACCAACCGUCUCAACCACCUCACCAACCGCCACACCAACCGCCUCACCAACCGCUGCAACCGCCUCUCCGCCAACCGCCGCCUCCCGGCGCUCGUGCGCGGUGUCAUCCGCGUACGACAGGCAGAGCAGGAAGGUGGGGGAGGGCACGGCCAGGAGGGGGUCCCGAGCGAAGGCGCGCACGAACCCGCGGCUGAUCGUGGAUUUGCCCGCGCCCAAUUGCCCGCUGAGACCAAUGAUGGAGCCGGGCUGGCCGAACGCCUGUGUGGGGGAGCGGGUGGAUAUGUGGGGGGGAGGGGGAGGGGAGGUAGCCAGGUGGAUUGGUGGGGGUGCGGGUGGAGGGGUGCGAUUGCUAGUUGCAGUGCGUGUGAAGUCUGAGCACCAUACAUGCACCCACAACCACGUUACCCGCCGCCAUGAGCCCACACCCGGCCACAAAACCCUCCGGCCACACCCACACAUACAUUGGCUCUUCCCUUGGUGCUUUUAAGGCAUCACGCACAUUGAGGCCCGCUUUGCUUCUGCGCUUACAAGUGCUACACACGGUGCCGACCCCUUCCCUUGUCACACGAAACACACGCCCAGACAUACCUUCGUAGUUCAUACACAAACGCUCCCCCCUCCUAACCCCCCUCCCUCCCCACCCCAAAGCCUCGCCUGGUGCAGCGCCAUCCCCAGCCCCUCCACCACGCACCCCCCCCCUCACCCUCCACCCUACGCAAGACACACAAACACACACGGAUUCCCCCUCCACCCCGCCUUUCCCACCCCCCCCCCACACACACGCACCUGGUGCAGCGCUGCUCCCAGCCCCUCCAUCUCGCCCUCAUCCCCCGCCCAGGCGUGGUAGCCGGGGGCGUAGGUCGCCGGCAGCCGGUUGCGCAGCGCCGCCAGCAGCGGCCCCGCCUCGCCCGGCAGUAGCUGGGACCUGAGGCCGCCUCCGGCAUCCGCCGCCGGGGCUGCUACUGCUGGUGCUGAGGCUGCGGUGGCGGAGGCUGCGGUGGCGGCGUUGGCGUCGGCGGCGGCUUCGCCGGCGCCGGCUGUGGCGGAGGCGGAGGGGGCGGCUGAGGCAGUGCCGCUGUCGGCAUUGGUGUUGUUGUUGUUGUUGUUGGUGUAGACGGGCACGAUGUGGAAAUGCAGCUGCGGCACGGUCUGGCCGGCGGCGGGGCCGGAGGCCUGGGUCACGCGAAGCCCCGCGCAGCCGGUGGCAGCGACCAGCGCGCGACAGAGCGCCUGUAGGUCGGCGAACGCCGCGGCUGCGACCUCGGGCUUCAGGUCCUCGAGCAGCGUCGCUACCGGCGCCUUGACCACCAGCAGCGAGUGGCCGCGCGCGAGCGGGAAUUUGUCGAGGAGCGCAAAGGUAUGCGUGGAAUCGAAAAUGAUUGGCGUCUCCAGGCCGCCGCUGGCGCCCUGGAGCAUGAGCGAGAAGACGUUGCGCUCAUUGUAGCGAUAGUCCACGACGCCGACCGCCGGAGCGGGUUUGCUGCCGGGCGCCAUUUUCUGCCGUUUCGCUUUCGGCUCCGCUUCCAUCGAUAAAUGGCUUCUUAGAUGCAAUUAUGUGUCACUUUUAGCUAGUUACAUAUGUUUGUACACCAAUUGAUCGCUGGAAAAGCAAGAACCAGUUUGGUCGUCUGGAGUCGCGCCGCCAAGGCUUGCGUUGAUACUGUAGAGGUUAUGUGAUACACACUUAUAUGCUCAAGCUGUCAGCAGUUUAUGCGUUUAGCCCGGGUGCGGGUUUGGGGUCCCGGGAUUGGGACGCCGGGGUUCGUGUCAACACGCACGGUUUACGGUUCGAGCUCUACUGAGGGUCAUGAGGGUUGCGGCUUCGGCCAGGUCUCCUGCCCCCGUGACAAGCUCAGCUGGGUGGCGGGUUGCUAGCAGAAUCGGAGUCGGUGUUUCAAGUGGAAAUCACAUCCCACACAUGGGCAGGCCAAAACGUUUGAUCACACGCUAAGAGGCUCAACUCUUCGGGCAUUCUCAUCCCAUCCGCGAUCAGCUCGGACACAUUGGGUAUUACGGUAUCGAGGAUUUCCAGUCAGGUCGUCAAGCGGGGAUGUGCACGCCAACGCAUGGGCAGCCUCCGCUUCGAGCCCAUACUGAGAAGUCUAAGCUGUUGAUGGCUCCGAUGGUUUUAGUCAACGGACGAGAGACCAUAAGUAUCAUGGUCAGACAGGCCCAGAGACCGGCCGUCCAGGGAUGCCGGGGUUCGUGUCACAGGGGGCGGAUUGAAGGUACUGAAGUUUAGCUGCGCACGAUACUUAAGUUUCAAACGCUUGAAGUAUUAUAGAGUAAUGCGACGUUAUCGCGCACUGGCACCUUUUGUCGCUGUAUCGUGCUUUCAUCGCUAACGGUGCCCAACACACGUCAACGCAACAAAUGACCGAUACCGACCAGGAAUCUUGCCAUUGGAGACGCCUUACUCCCGACCUGGUGCGGCGCAUAGCAGCGUGCGCCCAUCCGAACGCAAUCGCCGGGUCAUUGAAGCUUACUGACAGCGAGACCGCCGCGGCGCUUCGUGGGAGCUACAACGUCUUGCAGUUGCUCCAACGGUCCACCGGGGGGAACGAGCACGCGCUGUCAUUCGCCGAGGCUGAGUGGCCUGGGCACGCCUUCGUGGCGCACUGGGACCGCCCCGAGCCCUGGCACUCUCUCAACCUUUUCCGGCGCUGGCGGCUGCUGUGCCUGGCCGCGUCCUCGGGCCACGCCGCCAGUCUGUAAGCAGCCCAGGCGCACUGCGGCUGCUCGCUAACCCCAGAGGUGCUGGCGUCUGCCGCGAUGGUGGGCAAUCUGGAGGGCUGCGAACGGCUGCUGCAGCAGGACAGCCGUGCCCUUGGACUGCUUGCAUUCUCGGCUGCAGCGGAAGCCGGCCAGCUGUCAGCCCUGCAGUGGCUACUAGGGCGGUCCCAUGCGCCCGAUAUGGGGGUGGCCAGUGCCCUCAGCGCUGCAGCUCAGGGAGCCUGCAAGGGCGGCCAGCCCCACAUCCUGGCUUGGCUGCAGCAGGCACACGGCUCUCCAUGCCAAAAGCAGCUUCUUGUCAGAGGAGGGCCUGCUGUACCUGACUGAGGUGGCACAGGAUCAGGAGGAGGCUGCCAGCAAUCCGGAUGGUGAUUGGGGGGAGGCGGGCAGCAGCCAGCAGCUACAGCCAGAGCACGAUGGCAAACCAGCACAGCGCUGGAGCACCAGCACCAGGGAUGGCUGGUCAGGAGCAUUCACGCAUGCGGCACACCGGGGUGCCAGCCUGAGGGUGCUGCAGGCACUGCAUGCGCGUGGUGCAGGCCUUGACCUGGCUGCAGUGGCAUAUGGUGGCAGCAGGGAAGCCCUGGACUGGGCAGCAGCAGAGCUGCAGGUGGCGACACGGGAGGUGAGGUCACUUAUGCAUGCAGGCAAUACCAUGGCGCUGGCCUGGCUGCAAUCCCAUGGACUAUUGUAAGACCCAGGGGCGUGUUUGAUUGCCAAUCUGUUAAACCUAUUGUUCUUGAGGUAUUUACGCUGGGGCUGAAUUGGGAUGGAAUGCAUGUAAGUGUGGAAAGGAAUACAAUGUAGCCCACAUGUAAUUGCUAGAGUAUUAAUAUUUAGUUUUUACUUUUGGAGGGGUGUCGCUAGUGUAGCCCACAUGUGGUGUCAUACCAAGGAAACCAGAGAAUGGAACCUUCAAUGAACCCCUUAAUGGCCAUGCUGAUUUGCGUUAAAAUGGGCAUGCUGCAUGUGCCCAACAUCUGGAAUGAUGCGCCCUGUUUUGUGUAGUGCUGAGACACUGGAGCAAACUGAACCUGCUUACUGAAUACCACAGUUCUAUAAAGGUUUGGGUAUUCAAAAUCUUGGAAGGAGAAUAUGGGGUUUUUACUUUUGGAAGGGUGUUGCAAUGUUUGAAUGUUCUCAAGUCACUCAAGUAUGGCGGCCUCCGGGACGGAGCCCAUGGAGGGGCCCCCACACCCUCCAAAACCUUGCUUGGUACAACAAGGUACCGGUAUUGUCAACCCUGAAACUGGCGUGCAAGCUACAUUCGGUGCAGCAACACAACUGGAUGAGCUGACAGCUAAGGUCCGGGCCCAGCGUGUCAACCCUUCCUUGCGUGCCUGCAUGCGUGCCAUGCUGGCAAAAUUGUUGCAGGUGAUAUUAAGUUUUGGUGAUAUUUUCAUUAUAAUACACCACACGCAAGAAUGACAAACUGAUGAAUGAACACUAGUACAUUCCACCCUACUUUUCCCUAGUAUCCCACCCAAGCCAUCAUUGUGGUUAUGUUGAAAUCAGAAUUAAAUACCCGCCAGUGCCUGUAUCUUGUGGAUGCCCUCAGGCCCGCGGUGUCUACAGAGUGUAUAUUAUCUCUACUGCGGCAUCUACACCUAAAAGAUUUUCCCUAGUUAGGGGGCAAGGCCCCCAUACACCCCAAAAUAUCUUGAGAUACCACCAAAUCUGUGCCAAAUCAUCUACAGUCCAUAGAAAUGCGCCUACGAAUCCCAAUACUUUUCUCCACCUUCGGCAGAUUUGGGGCAAAUUCUACAGUGUUUAUGGAAAUUAUGAACACUGACCCACCUCAGGGCUCCUAUUUUCUUAAUGUCUCCAGACACCAAUCCGCCCUUUUGGCAAUUUCAUAGGCAUUCCUCCCAGGGGCUAAUGUCUGGGGUGAGACUUUGUUGGCCCGGGUUUGGGGGGGGGGGGUUUGUUGAAAUUCCUAUGGAUAAGCCCCCAAACCGCCAUGCGCCCAGAUAAAAGAUGGCGGCUACCUGGCCAUUUUUGUCUGGAGCUAGACAUCAAGACUCGAAAAACCCAAAACCCCCAAAACCCCUAAAACAAGAUAUGACCCCUGCCCCUCACGUCACCUCACCAUACACCACCCGAGCCAAGCCAAGCCACCCUACCCCACCCCCAGUUCACCACCUACCCAACACACCACCCUAUUGUGCUCCCAAACACUUGCAGUGCUGCACCGCUGCCUCAGCACUGGCACAGACCAGGCCAGGUUAGCGUGUACCUGCAACAUCACAAAUCCCCAUACCUGUCAAGGGCAUGAUGGAAAAGAUGAAUUGGCACCAAUUUCUUCGACAUCCAUUUCUAUUUAGUAGAUAGGUGCUUAGAUGACAUCUCUUCAUCCACACUCAGUGGAUUUUGCAGUUUAAAGGUCUGCCUGCCUCCGGUCCGGGUAGCCUUCUUCAAAGGUAUGUGUUGUGCGUGUGUGUGUGUGUGCAUCUUGUGUGCAAACCAGGUUAAAUAAUUAGUGUCACAUUAUAUGAUGUCGUUUAUAUUGAUGUGUAUAAGUGCUUUUGUAAUCCGCAUUACAGGCCACCCUGGCUCAUAUUCAUCUGCUUGCUUUCAACAAGGAAGCGACCCCCGCCACCUGCCAGAGCAAUCCCAUAGGUAGGUUCAUCCUGAUCCUACAUAUGAUGGUGCUCACGUUUUGAUUCCUCUUCAUCGUUCCCCUGAGCUGAUGGCACCAUGAUCACAUCAUUGGCUUGGUGAAGGCAGCCGACCAGCUCAGCAUCCAAACCAUCCAGCCCUAGGACUGCUACAGCCUCCGCAAGGCCGCUGCUGCUGCUACUGCCACCCGCAUUCACAGCCACUGCUGCAGCGGUGGCCAUGGCAGUAGCAGUGGCAGUAGCAGCCGUGGCCGUCAAUGCCAAACCACCGCUGGUGGGCCCUAGUGAAAUGGGAGUGUGCAGCUGCCGCUGUUGCUGCUGCAGCUGCAAUUGCUGAGGGGAGGGAAGAAGGCCCAGCAGGGGGUGCUUUACGCUGCUGCUGCCGCUGCUGUGCUUCUCCGUCUCUUGCAUGCUGCUCCUGCUGCCUCCCAUCCAAGCCGCUGCCCCACUGGCUGGGCUCACCACUGCCAUAGCCACCAAACCCUGUUGCAAGCCGCCGGUACCAGCACCACCAUAACCGGCGCCGCCACCGCCAACAAUGCCGCCACCCUGCUGGCUAGUCCUGCCAUCUCCGACGCUACUGCCAAAUCGCUGCAUCACCUCCAAGCGCUUUUCAUGCCACUGCUGCUGCAACUGUAGCAGCUGUUGCUGUUGCUGCUGUGCAGGAUUGGGGGUGCCCCAGUGCUGCAAGAAAACCUGCUGUAACUCUUGCUGCUGCUGCAGCUGCAGUUGUUGCUGCUGUUGCUCUUCUUGUUGCUGCAGCGCACCCGGCCUGGGGACAUCUAAUGACAGCCGGGGCCGAUGUGUUGGGCGACCACCUGCCACCACCUCAUCACCGCCGCCGCGUCCACCACAGGCACUGCCGCCACUGGCGCCACCACCACCGCCAAAACUGCUGCACAUUUCGCCGCUGAAAUGGUAGCUCCUCAUGCCACCGCUGCCAUACGCAUGGCCGCCGCCGCCGCCGCUAUGGAUGGCCGCAGCCGCGGCAGCAGCAGCCGCGGUGCCCACUACUGUUGGUGUUGUGUCUCCGCCGUAGGUGCUGGGGGAACCCACAGUAUCAACGAG
rnacentral:lncRNA from 1 species